rnacentral:rRNA from 1 species
UACAGAGGGGGCAAGCGUUGUUCGGAAUUACUGGGCGUAAAGGGCUCGUAGGCGGCCAACUAAGUCAGACGUGAAAUCCCUCGGCUUAACCGGGGAACUGCAUCUGAUACUGGAUGGCUUGAGUUCGGGAGAGGGAUGCGGAAUUCCAGGUGUAGCGGUGAAAUGCGUAGAUAUCUGGAGGAACACCGGUGGCGAAGGCGGCAUCCUGGACCGACACUGACGCUGAGGAGCGAAAGCCAGGGGAGCAAACGGGG